rnacentral:rRNA from 1 species
UACGAAGGGUGCAAGCGUUACUCGGAAUUACUGGGCGUAAAGCGUGCGUAGGUGGUUCGUUAAGUCUGAUGCGAAAGCCCUGGGCUCAACCUGGGAAUGGCAUUGGAUACUGGCGAUCUAGAGUGCGGUAGAGGGCAGUGGAAUUCCCGGUGUAGCAGUGAAAUGCGUAGAGAUCGGGAGGAACAUCUGUGGCGAAGGCGACUGCCUGGACCAGCACUGACACUGAGGCACGAAAGCGUGGGGAGCAAACAGG